AGAAAGUCCUAUGGGCUGUAACCCUUCCUGACCAUCCUUCAUCCCAACAGAAGGUUUCAGCUGCAGUAGUUUGGCAAGACCUUUUUGGUGCGGAGUUUGUCUACCUUGUAACUGCAUUACUCCUCUAAGAGGAGAACAGAUACGCAGUACUGCAGAACAGAGGGCCUAACUCUCCCUUUCAACUCCCAGGUAAACACUGAAUCCCAGCCCCAAGUAGGUAUCCUCGUGGCCCAUAACCUGCCAGAGAAGGACAGCCAGGGGAAUCUAGGACACUUGUUUUUGAUUGCACUGAAUUCAGCUGUGUUUCAUGUCUGCGAGGUCGGCAGGAUCAUGCUGCCAAUAGCAAGCAGGAGGUGGGUGCUCUCCUGCCAUCAGGUCAGAGGAAAAACAGAACAGUCUGGAUGUGAGUCUUUGCAAGAUUACUGUGGUGAGGCAGAACAUCUUGGGUCGAGCACCCCAUGGGUAGGAUCCUGUCCCGACAGAGGGGUGCAGUGGCACUGCCGAGCACCCUGCCCUGUGUGGGCUGUCAGGAUGGGUGACUGCUGCGGAUGAGCAGGGAGAUGUCCCACAUGCCUGGCCCUGUGCCGACCCUCCCCGCUGCACACUGGCUCUUUGUUGCCAGCCCCAGGCUGCCCAUGGACAUCCCUCUUGAUGUGCUGGCAGCACACGCUCCCCGCGCAUGCUUGCAUUUUGUCAUGCAGUUUCAGGAAUCUAUCUGAGAGCUGAACCAGCAGGGACGGAUGUUGUUGGUGUAACCACAGAUCAGCUACCAUCUGCUAAUAAUAUUUGCAAUUGUAGAAACAGGGUAAGCAGAAGAUUGCAAUUAAACGUAGCUGUAGCCAACGCAACACGUCUCUGCUCAUGGUGAGACUCUCACUGCGGCAGCUUGGUGGUUUCACGUACUUUCCCACUAGCUCCCUGCCCUUAUCACUGAGAACAUAAUCCUGCUAUUUAGGCUAAGCAUACCUCCCCUUCAGCCCGUGGCAUUUACUUCACG
rnacentral:lncRNA from 1 species